CCCAGGGCCAGGGCUGCCAGUGUUCAACCAUGGAGGGAACUGAAAGCAGUGAGAUGGAGACCAAGCUCCAGCACAGGAAUGGGUGAGAAAAGACCCUGGUCCUCAGGUGGAGCUUUGAAUUCAUUGGAAAAAUGGAUCCUGUCAGAUGGAUCAGGCCCUUGUGGGUGCUGGAGCAGAGGCCUCUGUGAUUUAUGGUCACCCUGAAAGGUUGCAAGGACAGCAAGUUCUGACUGCAGGAUGAGGUGGCAAACAAAGUGAAGUGGUCCAGAGAAAAGCUGAGGCUAAAAUUGGUCCUGUGCCAGAGCAGCCUCGUGCAGUGCUUGUUGCUGUCCCUGAGUGUCCCAUUGCAGUGGAUAUUUCCAAGGGUGCCUUGUGCUGGGGAGCACUGGGGCAGUUCCCUUUCCCUGGGCAGGGCAGGCAGGGCACGUUUCCCCCCUCGAGGGUGGCUCCACAGUCCCCCCCUGUGCCCUGGGAGCGUGGCAGAACACCUGGACCCACUGUCCUUGUCAGAGAGGGCACAAGGGAUGGUUGGAUGGGGGAGGGAAUGGCUCAGGGAGUACAAGCACCAUUACAAUGAGUAGGGCAGCACCUGGAAAGGAAGAAGGGGAGUUAAUCCAGACAAAAUCCAAGCACCUGCCCAAGCUGUGAUAUUUUUAGGAACUCAGUGGUGCUGUGGUCCCCAGGAAGUAUUGCCCAGGACUAGGCAGGAGACUUCAGGCUCUGUCACCCCCAGAGCAAGUGUCCAGGGGCAGGCAGUGGGGAGGCAGCUCUGUUGUUGAGGAUGGGGUUAUUUUCUCUGCUUUAUUUUGUCUCCAGAGAUGUUCUUCCCAUUAAUCCAAACUGACUCCAUCUCCUAACUCUCUGAAGAGGUUUUCUGCUUUUUGUGGGAGGAGUUGAUGUGACUGACUUCUUUUUGAAAUGCAGCAGUGCUCUCAAGGAUAUUUCCCCCCCACUCCUGGGCUUGUGCAGGGCUGUUGAGUCCGUGUGUGCCACUGUUCUUGUCCCAGGGGGACCGAGUGACAUUUGGAACCAAACCUGGGGACUUGAACUCUAGGAAUGUUUCUGUGUCUUUGAAUUUUAAAUUGCACAUGAAGCAGAAAUAUGUUUGUGUUUUCCAGGUUAUAUUGUCA